rnacentral:rRNA from 1 species
AGAACGAACGCUGGCGGCAUGCCUAAUACAUGCAAGUCGAACGAACUCUUCGGAGUUAGUGGCGCACGGGUGCGUAACGCGUGGGAAUCUGCCCCUUGGUUCGGAAUAACAGUUGGAAACGACUGCUAAUACCGGAUGAUGACGAAAGUCCAAAGAUUUAUCGCCAAGGGAUGAGCCCGCGUAGGAUUAGCUAGUUGGUGAGGUAAAGGCUCACCAAGGCAACGAUCCUUAGCUGGUCUGAGAGGAUGAUCAGCCACACUGGGACUGAGACACGGCCCAGACUCCUACGGGAGGCAGCAGUAGGGAAUAUUGGACAAUGGGCGAAAGCCUGAUCCAGCAAUGCCGCGUGAGUGAUGAAGGCCUAGGUUGUAAAGCUCUUUUACCGAGAUGAUAAUGACAGUAUCGGAGAAUAAGCCCCGACUAACUCCGCGCCAGCAGCCGC